UACAAUGAUUUACUAAACAAACAAUAAAAGGGAAGAACAUUUUUAGAAGAAUGAUUUAAAUAAUUCCCGUUCUUUCUCAAGUUUGGAUCAAAACUCCGAUACAGAUAAGGAGCUGAGAAACCUCUUUGAAAAACUGGAGACAGAAACAUGUAGGACAGUAGACAUCACAAACAGUUUUGACAUUACAGACGUGCAUCAACAACGUGAUGCUGCUGAAUGCCUGGAAAUGAUUUUACACAAAGUCAGCCCACAGGCCUCCCAGGUUUUCAAAGGACAGCUGAAAUACUCGACAACAUGCUCCAAAGGCCACAACCUCAACACAGAGACGAAUCCAUUUCUGACUCUUCCACUGUCACUGAAGGAUGCUAACAAUUCAACCUUCAGUGUGGAGAGUGGCUUUGACAACGUUUUCCAGACAAAAUCCUUCAUCGGAGACAACCUGGUGUACUGUGAGCAAUGUGGAAAGAAAACAGAG